ensembl:lncRNA
AACAAAUCCCCCUGAGUCCAUUGUAAAUGAAGCAGAAAGAAUUGUGGCCAGGGCUAGCCGGAAUAACAUUUCCUCUGCACACAAGAUCAUAUCAUCCUGCCCACCAAGCUUGGGAAGACAUUACUCAGCCUUCAGUUCAACUAUAACUUAUUUCAUUUCAAGUACCAAGAUAAUACUUCUUAAGUGGCAACAGAAUAUAUAGAAACAUUCAGAAGACAGAGAUUUAUACUUAAAUAUGUAAGAAUACAAUGCAGGAAACAUAGAAAUAAUGAGUUAUACGCCAUAAGGACACAGAUAUUUUUCCCCUGUUCCUCUUUGACAACUCCAUGGAUUGCCAUCAGGCCAUCAGGAUACAAUUUUGUGGCUCUACUCCCAGAAGUUUGAGGUGUUUUUUCCUUAAUGGAUAUGUGGGAGAUAAGUCUUGUCUGAAUUUCACAGAUGAUUAGCCCUGAGCUAACUACUGCCAGUCCUCCUCUUUUUGCUGAGAAAGCCUGGUCCUGAGUUAACAUCAUGCCCAUCUUCCUCUACUUUAUAUGUGGGAUGCCUACCACAGUAUGGCGUGCCAAGCGGUGUCAUGUCCGCACCCGGGAUCAAAACUGGCAAACCCGGGCCGCCAGGAAGCAGAAUGUGCAAACUUAACCGCAGCGCCACCAGGCCGGCCCAACCCCUUUGAAGCCAUGAAGAGGAAAAGUACUCUUCCAAGCCUUAGCUUCUUUUAGGAAAAUCUUGUCCCCCAAAUAAAACUCUUCCCACACACUUUAUAAAAACAAUGGAUUAGAAGAAAGAGUAAAUAUGAUUACCGGUAGCUCAAGCCCUCAGCCUAAGUAGAAGACUAGAAUAGCCAUCUCUAAGUCCAAACCCAAACAAGGAGGAACGUGGGAAUGUUGUGGAGUGUAGGAAAGUUAGUUAGUCUUAGAUGUGGCAGAAAAUUUAAAACAAAAAAUAAACACAAACUGAUAAGAUCAAUGACAGUUCACUACAGAAAGAACAUCUCUCAUUAAAUGGAAAAAUAAUGAAUCUAGUGCGUCAGUUUGCAAAAUACUAGGGAGUCCAAAGGAAAAGGAUUGGAAAGCUUGCAAGAUCUGAACUGGCUUUCUUAAAAAGGCACCACUUACAAGGCAGAAAGGGGACCUUGUGUAGUAGUUUCGUAGGCUGCAUAACAAAUUACCACACAUUUAGCACCUUAAAACAGCGUACAUGUAUCAUCUCACAAUUGCUGUAAGUGAGAAACCUGGGCACUGCUCAGCUGGGUGAUGGUCUGCAAAGCUACAAUCAAGAUAUCAUGAGGGUUGGAUCAUCAUCUGGAGGCUUGACUGGGGAUGGAUCCACUUCCAAGAUUACUCAGAUUGUUGGAAGAAUCGCAUUUUUUUAUGGCUGUGGAUUCCAUAGGAGCUUAUUUAUUCAAAGACAGCAACGGAGACAGAGACUCUAGAGCAAGUUUGCCAGCAAGAGUUUUCUGUAACAUGACAAAAAUCACGAGUGACAUCACAUCAUCUUUGCCCUAUUGUGUUGGUUACAAGCAAGUGACAGGCUCUGCCUACACUCACGGAGAAGAGACUGCACAACAGCACAAACAGCAGGAACUGGGAAUGAUGAAGACUGCCUAGCAAUCUACCUGCCAUAUCUUGGAAAAGAGAUAUUUUCCAGGAAACUGGGUGGUGAAAAAUUGUUUUUGAAAUGACUGACACACUAAAUCAUGCUAAACAUAGCAUAAUAUUUACAAAAUAUUAGAAAAAGAGGGAAAUGUAUCAUUCUUGGUUAAAAAAAUAUUGACCUUCAUUUAAAGUUCUCUUGAAAUAAAACAAUCACCCUAAGCCACCAGUACUUCUCCCCCACUCCCACGGAUUCACUUCUGACACCAAGUCCAGGAAAAUAGUGCAAAUAUGUAAUUCUAAGGACAAAAAAAGUCAAAUUUGGCAUUGAUAGAAAGCAUACUGAAACAAGAAGACAAAAAAUGAUAAUCAAAUAUCUGAGUAUCUGAAAACAAUGUACCAGACCCCAAACUGUCUAAAAGGAAUAAUUAGACAAAUAAAACAGUACACACACUUUUCUUGCUUCGUUUUCUAACGUGAAAGAAACAGUACCUAAGAAGGUUUUUCAGAUACCCAGUUUCAUGAGUUUUAGGUUUAUAUAUCAACCUCUCAGUUUUUACUGUAGCUUGAUGAUGUGUCUAUCUACUAACUUUAUCUUAACUAAAG